rnacentral:rRNA from 1 species
UACAGAGGUCCCAAGCGUUGUUCGGAUUCACUGGGCGUAAAGGGUGCGUAGGCGGUUUGAUAAGUCUGAUGUGAAAUCCCGCAGCUUAACUGCGGAACUGCAUUGGAAACUAUUUGACUAGAGGAAUGGAGGGGAGACUGGAAUACUUGGUGUAGCAGUGAAAUGCGUAGAUAUCAAGUGGAACACCAGUGGCGAAGGCGAGUCUCUGGACAUUUCCUGACGCUGAGGCACGAAAGCUAGGGGAGCAAACGGG